CGUUGAAACACAGGUCUCCCUACGAUCACUGAAGUUAAGCAACGUCGGACCUGGUCACUACCUAGAUGGGUAGUUACUUGGGAAUACCAGGUGUUGUAAG